rnacentral:piRNA from 1 species
UGGGAAUGGGAGUUGUUUACUUGUUCAAGC